rnacentral:sRNA from 1 species
ACUCCUAUGCAAAUCACAAGAGAAAUAAAAAAAAUGUAUAUAUAGACAACCAAAUAAAAUAUGAUUACUCUCUCCAUUUCAUAUUAUAAAUCAUUUUGACUUUUUUUAG